GCGAACCGAGCGGGCGGCGGGCGCGCGCACCAUGGGGGAGAAACCCGGGACCAGGGUCUUCAAGAAGUCGAGCCCUAACUGCAAGCCCCUUGCCGCAGAGGCUGCUCAGCCUGAGCCAGCCACAGGGCUGGGUGGGGCAGGCUUGGGUCCCCAAGCAAGACCACAGAGGAGGAGGCCAAAAGCAAGCCAUGUGCCUGUAGCCCUCCUAGGAGCCAACCCAAGCUCACCGUGUACUUGGGCAAGCGGGACUUCGUAGAUCACCUGGACAAAGUGGACCCUGUAGAUGGCGUGGUGCUUGUGGACCCUGACUACCUGAAGGACCGCAAAGUGUUUGUGACCCUCACCUGCGCCUUCCGCUAUGGCCGUGAAGACCUGGAUGUGCUGGGCUUGUCCUUCCGCAAAGACCUGUUCAUCGCCACCUACCAGGCCUUC
rnacentral:lncRNA from 1 species